rnacentral:rRNA from 1 species
AUACGGAGGGUGCAAGCGUUACUCGGAAUCACUGGGCGUAAAGCGCGCGCAGGCGGCUAUUUAAGUUGGAUGUGAAAGCCUACGGCUCAACCGUAGAACUGCAUCCAAAACUAUUUAGCUAGAGUGUGGAGAGGAAGAUGGAAUUAGUUGUGUAGGGGUAAAAUCCGUAGAGAUAACUAGGAAUACCAAAAGCGAAGGCAAUCUUCUGGAACACUACUGACGCUGAGGCGCAAAAGCGUGGGGAGCAAACAGGAUUAGAAACCCUAGUAGUCC